CCUACGGGAGGCAGCAGUGGGGAAUAUUGUACAAUGGGGGAAACCCUGAUGCAGCGACGCCGCGUGAGUGAAGAAGUACUUCGUUAUGUAAAGCUCUAUCAGCAGGGAAGAAAAUGACGGUACCUGAGUAAGAAGCCCCGGCUAACUACGUGCCAGCAGCCGCGGGAAUACGUAGGGGGCCAGCGUUAUCCGGAUUUACUGGGUGUAAAGGGAGCGUAGACGGGAGUGCAAGUGUGGAGGGAAAGGCGGGGGGCAAAACCCCGGACUGCUCUGGAAACUGGUCGGCUGGAGUGCAGGAGAGGUAAGUGGAAUGCCUAGUGUAGCGGUGAAAUGCGUAGAUAUUAGGCGGAACUCCAGUGGCGAAGGCGGCUUACUGGACUGUAACUGACGUUGAGGCUCGAAAGCGUGGGGAGCGAACAGGAUUAGAUACCCUUGUAGUC
rnacentral:rRNA from 1 species